UACGUAGGGGGCGAGCGUUGUCCGGAUUUAUUGGGCGUAAAGAGCUCGUAGGCGGUUCGGUAAGUCGGAUGUGAAAUCUCCACGCUCAACGUGGAGGGGCCAUUCGAUACUGCCGUGACUCGAGUCCGGUAGGGGAGUGUGGAAUUCCCGGUGUAGCGGUGAAAUGCGCAGAGAUCGGGAGGAACACCCGUGGCGAAGGCGGCACUCUGGGCCGGUACUGACGCUGAGGAGCGAAAGCGUGAGGAGCGAACAGG
rnacentral:rRNA from 1 species